GCAAGUCUGGUGCCAGCAGCCGCGGUAAUUCCAGCUCCAAUAGCGUAUAUUAAAGUUGUUGCAGUUAAAAAGCUCGUAGUUGAACCUUGGGUCUGGCUGGCCGGUCCGCCUCACCGCGAGUACUGGUCCGGCUGGACCUUUCCUUCUGGGGAACCUCAUGGCCUUCACUGGCUGUGGGGGGAACCAGGACUUUUACUGUGAAAAAAUUAGAGUGUUCAAAGCAGGCCUUUGCUCGAAUACAUUAGCAUGGAAUAAUAGAAUAGGACGUGCGGUUCUAUUUUGUUGGUUUCUAGGACCGCCGUAAUGAUUAAUAGGGAUAGUCGGGGGCGUCAGUAUUCAGCUGUCAGAGGUGAAAUUCUUGGAUUUGCUGAAGACUAACUACUGCGAAAGCAUUUGCCAAA
rnacentral:rRNA from 1 species